AGUUGAUCAUGGCUCAGGAUGAACGCUGGCGGCGUGCCUAACACAUGCAAGUCGAACGAAGCACUUCGAUCGGAGAUCGUCAAAGAUUGGAUUGACUAGUGGCGGACGGGUGAGUAAUGUAUGAGCAACCUGCCUUUCAGAGGGGGACAACAGUUGGAAACGACUGCUAAUACCGCAUAAUGUAUUUUAAGGGCAUCCUUGAGAUACCAAAGGAGCAAUCCGCUGAAAAGACGGGCUCAUAUCUGAUUAGUUAGUUGGCAGGGUAACGGCCUACCAAGACUGCGAUCAGUAGCCGGACUGAGAGGUUGAACGGCCACAUUGGGACUGAGAUACGGCCCAGACUCCUACGGGAGGCAGCAGUGGGGAAUAUUGGGCAAUGGGCGAAAGCCUCGACCCAGCAACGCCGCGUGAAGGAAGAAGGUCUUCGGAUUGUAAACUUCUUUUAUGAGGGACGAAGGACGUGACGGUACCUCAUGAAUAAGCCACGGCUAACUACGUGCCAGCCGCCGC
rnacentral:rRNA from 1 species